UACGGGAGGCAGCAGCCGCGGUAAUAUUGGACAAUGGGCGAAAGCCUGAUCCAGCCAUGCCGCGUGUGUGAAGAAGGUCUUCGGAUUGUAAAGCACUUUAAGUUGGGAGGAAGGGUUGUAGAUUAAUACUCUGCAAUUUUGACGUUACCGACAGAAUAAGCACCGGCUAACUCUGUGCCAGCAGCCGCGGUAAU
rnacentral:rRNA from 1 species